CUAUCUCUCUCUUUCUCUUUUUUCUCUAACUCUCUUUCUCUUUUAAUAAUGUGAACUAAAUCAGUGUCUUUAUAAACAAGCAAAAAUCUCUCUAAUUUAGAAAACAUUAAGGAUUUCUUUUACAGGAAGAAUGUAUGCUUCAUCUUCUCUGACAUCAGUGAGGAUCACAGCCAUGCCAUCCUUUUCCCCACCAACCAGUACAUUAAUGUCUUGUUGUUUUUCUAACUCUUGAAAAGAAGAGCACUAACACAGUUUAUCCUUAUAAUUUAAUCAGUACAUACACAAAAAUUAUGAUGUGACUUAAUCCUUUUGACUCUCAGUAGAGUAUAGGGCUGUAACAGUAAUUGACCAUCAGAUAUAAUUCUGUAAAUUCCUAUCAGUUGGGUCUAUGUCCAUCCUGCAAUUUUUACUAAUUUUUUUACUGACCUCCUUCAUGUAUGUUCUUUUCAAUCAUAGGCUAGUAAAAAAAGCACUAUUUACUAUUAUAUUCAUAUUUUAAUUAGUACAUACAUACAAUCAUAAAGUAGUACAAAAAUAACACUCAUACUUAUAUUUUAAUUAGUACAUACAAUUAUUGACUAUUAAAAUCAUAGCAAUUUUAACAUUGUUUCUUGUUUCCUCAGUCUUCACUUUUAACUCCUGGAAGACCAACAAGUCUUUCCCUCAGUUUACCAGCUUCACCCACCACUUCAGAGGCAUCCACUCCUCAAGCAUCUCCUCGCCCUCCACUUUCGAUGUCUUCAUCCACUCCUCAACUGAACACAAGGAAGAGAGUAUCUUCUGCCAGCCAAAAACUUUCAACCCCUGUAGGAAGAAUAUAUGCUUCAUCUUCUUUGACAUCUGUGAGGACCACAACCACACCAUCCUCUUCCCCACCAACCACAGCGAGGAGAUUGACCAAUCUGGCAACCAAGCAGGAAGUGACGCCCACAUCCAAAUCAAAUGGUUAUUCCAUGAUCAACAAAUCCAAUCUGGCCUCUAGGCUAGUUAAAUCUGCCAGCUCGCCACAGAAUCUUAGUGCCAGAAUUGACAGAAGAUAACAAAGCUUUUUGUUUGUCUAUCACCACUUUAGUGUCUCAAGUGCCUUUAUUUGUAAUCAUUGAUUAAAUAUGUAAAUUAUUGCUUUUAUAUUAUUCACAAGGUAUUAGUCUUUGGUUUGCAUAUUUAUUUUAUGCGUAUUUAUUUGGUGAGUACAAGAAUCUAAUAACUAUAAUAAUAAUAAUAUCAAUAUCUUUGAUUAUGAAGAUAAAGAAUGAGUGCAGUGUUUCAUAUGCCUAUGCAGACCCAGUUGUGACCUACAUAUUUUGUGUAUCUAAUUUAAGUAAAGUUAUGAUAUUUGAGACCUAACGAAAAACUCUUGUUGAAAACAGGCGCAGAAGACGAAAAGAAAACUUAAAUAGACACCCAGUAGACACUGGCUUUGCCAGCAUCAGGUGUGGAAAAAUAUACAGAUCGCAACUGGGUUUGCAUAGUCAUGUGAUACACUACACUCAUCCUUAAUCUUCAGAAUUGAAGACAUUGCCAUUUAAUUAAAAUUAUAACAUUAUAUAACAUAUUUCUAGCUUUCAACUGGCUUGUAUUAUAGUUUACUAGAAAUCCUUAGAUUAUUAGUAAAUAUAACUCUUUUGGUAAUGAGUAAAAAAAAGUUUUCCAAAUACAUUUUACAAUGUACAUAUUAGGCUCCUAACACACCUGAUAAUAUUAAAAGAGUUAAAAUGUUCAACUUAAAGAAUGUGGUCAUCUUGAAAUAAAAUAUCUGAUAAUGUAAUGAUGGUACUUUUCAUGAGUAACAAAGUACUAUUACAAACAUUUAUCUGUUGUGUAUGUAUAUAUGUAGAUGUAUAGUAUAUUAUUUAUAUUUAUCCAAUAUCAAUUUAUUAGGUGAUCCUUGUUUUUUCACAGAAAUGACCUUUUUAGCCAGUCUUCUUAGCAAUAGCAAAUAAUCCAUCAUCUCUGGUUAACACUAUAUUUUACCAGGCACUUUCGGUAAAUGGUCACCUUCUGAACAGAAUAUUUGAAGUUUGAAUCCAUUUUAAGGUUGUAGUUUUAGAUUUGUUCUUUUACUGAAAUUUUGAGACAAUAUGCUUACAAUAAUAAAUACAUUGUCUAUCAAUACCUGGAAGAUUUGAAUAGAUUACAUUUUCUCUAUCUAUAUCUGGUAGAUUUGAAUAGAUUACAUUUUCUCUAUCUAUAUCUGAUAGAUUGGAAUAGGUUACAUUUUCUCUAUCUAUAUCUGGUAGAUUGGAAUAGGUUACAUUUUCAAUCAAUAGCUGAUAGAUUGGAAUAGAUUACAUUUUCUAUUAAUAGCUGAUAGAUUGGAAUAGGUUACAUUUUCUAUAUCAAUAGCUGAUAGAUUGGAAUAGGUUACAUUUUCUAUAUCAAUAGCUGGUAGAUUGAUAGCUACGUUUGUAGUAAAAAUAUAAUGUACUAUUAGGUCUUUACAAACUAUUUUCAAUAUUUAUCAGAUUAUCAAACUAAGAUAACACCAACUGACCCUGAUGCACCUUUGGUAAUAGCAAGUAGUUCACAUGGUUUCUUUGCCAGUGGUUCUCAGUUUUCUAUUCAUGUUGCCUUUGUUGAAAGCAUUUUUUUUUCUCAAAAUGGUUUUUUAUGUUUUCUCCAGUGUUCUACGCCAUGUACAAAGAAAUAUUUCUGUUCCGCUGGUAUGUUGCUCCCCCUUUUUAUAUAUAUAGAUUGUAUUUCUUUAGGACAACUAUUUUGAUUAGCUUUGUAGUUGAAUAUUUGGUUUGUGAAAUAAAUUAUUAUUUUUACUUUGAA
rnacentral:sRNA from 1 species